rnacentral:rRNA from 1 species
UACGUAGGGGGCAAGCGUUGUCCGGAAUUAUUGGGCGUAAAGAGCGCGUAGGCGGUCCGAUAAGUCGGCUGUGAAAGUCAGGGGCUCAACCCUUGAAAGCCGGCCGAUACUGUCGGACUAGAGUCCGGAAGAGGCAAGUGGAAUUCCUGGUGUAGCGGUGAAAUGCGCAGAUAUCAGGAGGAACACCGGUGGCGAAGGCGGGUCUCUGGGCCGAUACUGACGCUGAGGAGCGAAAGCGUGGGGAGCGAACAGG